UACGUAGGGACCAAGCGUUGUUCGGAUUUACUGGGCGUAAAGGGCGCGUAGGCGGCAAUUCAAGUCAUCUGUGAAAUCUCCGGGCUUAACUCGGAACGGUCAGCUGAUACUGCUUUGCUAGAGUGCAGAAGGGGCAAUCGGAAUUCUCGGUGUAGCGGUGAAAUGCGUAGAUAUCGAGAGGAACACCUGCGGCGAAGGCGGGUUGCUGGGCUGAUACUGACGCUGAGGCGCGAAAGCUAGGGGAGCGAACGGG
rnacentral:rRNA from 1 species